rnacentral:rRNA from 1 species
UCCUACGGGGGGCAGCAGUGAGGAAUAUUGGUCAAUGGGCGGUAGCCUGAACCAGCCAAGUAGCGUGAAGGAUGAAGGUUCUAUGGAUUGUAAACUUCUUUUAUAAAGGAAUAAAGCGAGGCACGUGCGCCUUUUUGUAUGUACUUUAUGAAUAAGGAUCGGCUAACUCCGUGCCAGCAGCCGCGGUAAUACGGAGGAUCCGUGCGUUAUCCGGAUUUAUUGGGUUUAAAGGG